rnacentral:SRP_RNA from 1 species
GCCAGGUGUGAUAGUGUGAGCUUAUAGUCCCAGCCAACUAGGAGGCAGAGGAGGGAGGAUCACUUAAGCCCGGGAAUUCUAAACUGACUUUAACCCACUAUGCUGCUCAGGCGUCCACAGUAAGUUUGGCAUCGAUAUGAUGGCCUCCUGGGAGUGGGGACCACCAGGUUGCCUAAGGAGGGGUGACUAGGUGGGAAAUUAAGCAGGUAAAAACUCCUCCUGUACUGAUCAGUACUGGGAUUGCUCCUGUGAAUAGCCACUGUACUCCAGCCUGGGCAACAUAGUGAGCCCCCAUCUCUA